rnacentral:rRNA from 1 species
UACGUAGGUGGCAAGCGUUGUCCGGAUUUACUGGGCGUAAAGAGCGCGCAGGCGGUCGAAUAAGUCGAAUGUGAAAGCCCCCGGCUUAACUGGGGAGGGUCAUUCGAUACUGCUCGACUUGAAGGCAGGAGAGGGUAGUGGAAUUCCCGGUGUAGUGGUGAAAUGCGUAGAUAUCGGGAGGAACACCAGUGGCGAAGGCGACUACCUGGCCUGUUCUUGACGCUGAGGCGCGAAAGCCAGGGGAGCAAACGGG